GACGAACGCUGGCGGCGUGCUUAACACAUGCAAGUCGAACGAAGAGCGACGGAUGCUUGCUUCUAUCAGUCUUAGUGGCGCACGGGUGAGUCACGCGUAAUCAACCUGCCCUUCAGAGGGGGACAACAGUUGGAAACGACUGCUAAUACCGCAUACGAUCUAUUCUCGGCAUCGAGGGGAGAGGAAAGGUGGCCGCUACAUGUAAGCUAUCACUGAAGGAGGGUAUUGCGGCUGAUUAGUUAGUUGGAGGGGUAACGUCCCACCAAGGCGAGGAUGAGUAGUCGGUCGGAGAGGAUGAGCGGCCACAUUGAGACUGAGACACGGCACAGACUCAUACGGGAGGCAGCAGUGGGGAAUCUUGCGGCAUGGACGAGAGUCUGACGGAGAAACGCCGCGUGAGUGAUGACCGCCUUCGGGUUGUAGAGCUCGGUUAAUCGGGACGAAAGGGCUUCUUGCGAAUACUGAGAAGGAUUGACGGUACCGGAAUAGAAAGCCACGGCUAACUACGUG
rnacentral:rRNA from 1 species